rnacentral:rRNA from 1 species
UACGAAGGGGGCUAGCGUUGUUCGGAAUUACUGGGCGUAAAGCGCACGUAGGCGGGUUGUUAAGUCAGGGGGGAAAUCCUGGAGCUCAACUCCAGAACUGCCUUUGAUACUGGCAACCUAGAGACUGGAAGAGGUUAGUGGAAUUCCCAGUGUAGAGGUGAAAUUCGUAGAUAUUCGCAAGAACACCAGUGGCGAAGGCGGCUCACUGGCCCGGUACUGACGCUGAGGUGCGAAAGCGUGGGAAGCAAACAGG